UACGGCCACAUAAUCUUGAAAUACCAGUUCCCGUACGACCACCGAAGUUAAACAACGUCGAGUUUUAUCAGUAUCUACAUGGGUGACCGCUUAGGAAUACAGGUGCAGCAAG